CUGUGAGCUCGAUGAGUAGGGCGGGACACGUGGUAUCCUGUCUGAAUAUGGGGGGACCAUCCUCCAAGGCUAAAUACUCCUGACUGACCGAUAGUGAACCAGUACCGUGAGGGAAAGGCGAAAAGAACCCCGGCGAGGGGAGUGAAAAAGAACCUGAAACCGUGUACGUACAAGCAGUGGGAGCCUCUUAAUGGGGUGACUGCGUACCUUUUGUAUAAUGGGUCAGCGACUUAUAUUCUGUAGCAAGGUUAACCGAAUAGGGGAGCCGAAGGGAAACCGAGUCUUAACUGGGCGUUAAGUUGCAGGGUAUAGACCCGAAACCCGGUGAUCUAGCCAUGGGCAGGUUGAAGGUUGGGUAACACUAACUGGAGGACCGAACCGACUAAUGUUGAAAAAUUAGCGGAUGACUUGUGGCUGGGGGUGAAAGGCCAAUCAAACCGGGAGAUAGCUGGUUCUCCCCGAAAGCUAUUUAGGUAGCGCCUCGUGAAUUCAUCUCCGGGGGUAGAGCACUGUUUCGGCAAGGGGGUCAUCCCGACUUACCAACCCGAUGCAAACUGCGAAUACCGGAGAAUGUUAUCACGGGAGACACACGGCGGGUGCUAACGUCCGUCGUGAAGAGGGAAACAACCCAGACCGCCAGCUAAGGUCCCAAAGUCAUGGUUAAGUGGGAAACGAUGUGGGAAGGCCCAGACAGCCAGGAUGUUGGCUUAGAAGCAGCCAUCAUUUAAAGAAAGCGUAAUAGCUCACUGGUCGAGUCGGCCUGCGCGGAAGAUGUAACGGGGCUAAACCAUGCACCGAAGCUGCGGCAGCGACGCUUAUGCGUUGUUGGGUAGGGGAGCGUUCUGUAAGCCUGUGAAGGUGUGCUGUGAGGCAUGCUGGAGGUAUCAGAAGUGCGAAUGCUGACAUAAGUAACGAUAAAGCGGGUGAAAAGCCCGCUCGCCGGAAGACCAAGGGUUCCUGUCCAACGUUAAUCGGGGCAGGGUGAGUCGACCCCUAAGGCGAGGCCGAAAGGCGUAGUCGAUGGGAAACAGGUUAAUAUUCCUGUACUUGGUGUUACUGCGAAGGGGGGACGGAGAAGGCUAUGUUGGCCGGGCGACGGUUGUCCCGGUUUAAGCGUGUAGGCUGGUUUUCCAGGCAAAUCCGGAAAACCAAGGCUGAGGCGUGAUGACGAGGCACUACGGUGCUGAAGCGACAAAUGCCCUGCUUCCAGGAAAAGCCUCUAAGCAUCAGGUAACAUCAAAUCGUACCCCAAACCGACACAGGUGGUCAGGUAGAGAAUACCAAGGCGCUUGAGAGAACUCGGGUGAAGGAACUAGGCAAAAUGGUGCCGUAACUUCGGGAGAAGGCACGCUGAUAUGUAGGUGAAGCGACUUGCUCGUGGAGCUGAAAUCAGUCGAAGAUACCAGCUGGCUGCAACUGUUUAUUAAAAACACAGCACUGUGCAAACACGAAAGUGGACGUAUACGGUGUGACGCCUGCCCGGUGCCGGAAGGUUAAUUGAUGGGGUUAGCGGCAACGCGAAGCUCUUGAUCGAAGCCCCGGUAAACGGCGGCCGUAACUAUAACGGUCCUAAGGUAGCGAAAUUCCUUGUCGGGUAAGUUCCGACCUGCACGAAUGGCGUAAUGAUGGCCAGGCUGUCUCCACCCGAGACUCAGUGAAAUUGAACUCGCUGUGAAGAUGCAGUGUACCCGCGGCAAGACGGAAAGACCCCGUGAACCUUUACUAUAGCUUGACACUGAACAUUGAGCCUUGAUGUGUAGGAUAGGUGGGAGGCUUUGAAGUGUGGACGCCAGUCUGCAUGGAGCCGACCUUGAAAUACCACCCUUUAAUGUUUGAUGUUCUAACGUUGGCCCCUAAUCGGGGUUGCGGACAGUGUCUGGUGGGUAGUUUGACUGGGGCGGUCUCCUCCUAAAGAGUAACGGAGGAGCACGAAGGUUGGCUAAUCCUGGUCGGACAUCAGGAGGUUAGUGCAAUGGCAUAAGCCAGCUUGACUGCGAGCGUGACGGCGCGAGCAGGUGCGAAAGCAGGUCAUAGUGAUCCGGUGGUUCUGAAUGGAAGGGCCAUCGCUCAACGGAUAAAAGGUACUCCGGGGAUAACAGGCUGAUACCGCCCAAGAGUUCAUAUCGACGGCGGUGUUUGGCACCUCGAUGUCGGCUCAUCACAUCCUGGGGCUGAAGUAGGUCCCAAGGGUAUGGCUGUUCGCCAUUUAAAGUGGUACGCGAGCUGGGUUUAGAACGUCGUGAGACAGUUCGGUCCCUAUCUGCCGUGGGCGCUGGAGAACUGAGGGGGGCUGCUCCUAGUACGAGAGGACCGGAGUGGACGCAUCACUGGUGUUCGGGUUGUCAUGCCAAUGGCACUGCCCGGUAGCUAAAUGCGGAAGAGAUAAGUGCUGAAAGCAUCUAAGCACGAAACUUGCCCCGAGAUGAGUUCUCCCUGAGACUUAGAGUCUCCUGAAGGAACGUUGAAGACGACGACGUUGAUAGGCCGGGUGUGUAAGCGCAGCGAUGCGUUGAGCUAACCGGUACUAAUGAACCGUGAGGCUUAACCUUACAACGCCGAAG
rnacentral:rRNA from 1 species